rnacentral:rRNA from 1 species
UACAGAGGUGGCAAGCGUUGUUCGGAAUUACUGGGCGUAAAGGGCGCGUAGGCGGCUUUGCAAGUCGGAUGUGAAAUCCCCAGGCUUAACCUGGGAACUGCAUUCGAGACUGCAUUGCUAGAGUAUGGGAGAGGGAAGUGGAAUUUCCGGUGUAGCGGUGAAAUGCGUAGAUAUCGGAAGGAACAUCAGUGGCGAAAGCGACUUCCUGGACCAAUACUGACGCUCAUGUGCGAAAGCGUGGGGAGCAAACAGG